rnacentral:rRNA from 1 species
UACAGAGGGGGCAAGCGUUAUUCGGAAUUAUUGGGCGUAAAGGGCGCGUAGGCGGCCUGGCAAGUGGAAGGUGAAAUCCCUCGGCUUAACCGAGGAACUGCCCUCCAAACUGCUUGGCUUGAGUCCGGGAGAGGUGAGUGGAAUUCCCAGUGUAGCGGUGAAAUGCGUAGAUAUUGGGAGGAACACCAGUGGCGAAGGCGGCUCACUGGACCGGAACUGACGCUGAUGCGCGAAAGCGUGGGGAGCAAACAGG